rnacentral:lncRNA from 1 species
AUGGGAUGGAGAUGAUGAUGGGAAUGAAGACGGGAAAGAGGAUGGCGACAAGGAUAGUGAUGAAGAUGAGGAUGAGGAUGGGGAUGAGGGGUGAGGAUGGGAUGGGGAUGAGGAAGACAAUGAGGAUGGGGAUGAGGAUGGAGAUGAGGAUGAGGACAGGGAUGAAGAUGAGGACAGGGAUGAGGACAAGGGUGGAAAUGAGGAUGGGGUUCAGGAUGGGGAUAAGGAUGAGGAUGGGGACAGGGAUGGGGAUGAAGGUAGGGAUGGGGAUGGGGCUGAGGGUGAGGAUGGGAUGGGGAUGAGGAAGACAAUGGGGAUGGGAACAAGGAUGAGGACAGGGAUGAGGAUGGGGACAGGAAUGAAGAUGAGGACAGGGAUGGGGGGACAAGGAUGGAGAUGAGGAUGGGGUUCAGGAUGGGGGUGGGGAUGAAGAUAGGGAUGGGAAUGGGUGGGGAUGAGGAUGAGGAUGGGAUGGGAUGGAGAUGAUGAUGGGAAUGAAGACGGGAAAGAGGAUGGCGACAAGGAUAGUGAUGAAGAUGAGGAUGAGGAUGGGGACAGGGAUGAGGAUGAAGACGGGGAUGGAGAUGAGGAUGGAGAUGGGGAUGAAGACAGGGGUGAAGAUGGGGAUGAGGAUGGGAAGGAGGAUUGGGUUGGGAAUGAGGACAUGGUUGAGGAUGAUGAUGGGGAUGAGGAUGACUAUGGGACUGGGAAUGAGGAUGAGGAUGGGGACAGGCUGUCAAGCUGGCAGGAAGGAGAGGUGCUACGCAGAGAUUGUUGUGGAGCAGGGCUUGGCUGUGAGAAGGGAAACUGAGGCACGGAGCACCUGGGGAGCAUCCCGCUCCCCAUCCUCAUCCUUCCUGAGGGACAGACGUAAAGAUGCUUUCCAGGGUGGUGAUCCCGGUGAUAAUGGCACAGGGGGCCUGGGGUGAGCAAAACCCCCACUUCCCCCCUGGUUUGGGGGUGAAAAACGGAAAACAGGGCAGGAAAUCAGGACUCCCCUUUUUGGGGGGGUUGUGUCACCCCCUGUCCCUCGCUGCCGUGGGUGAGGGGAGGUGGGGGAACUGGGGGGACCCCAAUAGCCCCUCACAGGGCACGGCAGUCAACCAGGGCUGGAUGUAAUCACUUCCAGGAGGACGGGGCUGAGCGAUCCCGCUGCAGGAAAAUGGAGGAUUGGGAUUUGCCAGCAGGAGCCGGGGGGAGGAAGGGGAGGGGAGGGGAAGGGAGGAUUUUCCGUCUGCGGCUUAAAAUUAAAAAAAUGUGGCCGUCACCAAAGCGAACCUUCCCCACGAGGUCGGGGCUGGCUGCCUCCAGGCUGGGAAUGCUGCGUCCCCAAGCCAAGCCCUGUCCCCAGGUCCUGUCCCCAAACCCUCAGGGCUGUUCCCCAUCCUCCUGGCAGGUCUCCCCGACUUGGUGCCCGACCCCAACUACGUGCAAGCGUCCACCUACGUGCAGAGAGCUCACCUGUACUCGCUGCGCUGCGCCGCCGAGGAGAAGUGUCUGGCCAGGUAGGAGCAGCCGUGGGGUGAGGGACAUGGGGACACAGGAUUUUCCGUCUGCGGCUUAAAAUUAAAAAAAUGUGGCCGUCACCAAAGCGAACCUUCCCCACGAGGUCGGGGCUGGCUGCCUCCAGGCUGGGAAUGCUGCGUCCCCAAGCCAAGCCCUGUCCCCAGGUCCUGUCCCCAAACCCUCAGGGCUGUUCCCCAUCCUCCUGGCAGGUCUCCCCGACUUGGUGCCCGACCCCAACUACGUGCAAGCGUCCACCUACGUGCAGAGAGCUCACCUGUACUCGCUGCGCUGCGCCGCCGAGGAGAAGUGUCUGGCCAGGUAGGAGCAGCCGUGGGGUGAGGGACAUGGGGACACGGGGAGAGAUGGGGGUCCUGGAGUGAGGGGAGAU